ensembl:lncRNA
CUAGAUUGGAAGAUGUGAUGGGGAUGCCUUCUGGGAUCACAGGACAUGAGCGAGUUCUAGACCACUUAAAUUAUUUUGGCCUUAUAAUCUACUGAGCUCUUUGAGGAUAAUGAUUAUGUGUUUUAUCACCAUAACCGCUGGCUCAAGAAAGAUUUCUUAUAUAUGGUAUUUUCUCAGAAAAUACGUGUUCCUGUUGGUAUAUUUUACUUCCUGAAAAGAUAAGUCCUUCAAGGAAGCCCUAAUUUUCUAAGCCAGCCCUGCAACUGGAUACUGCGCUAUUGCAAACACUAUGGCACAUCGACCCACAGUGAUUUUUCUCUGGAUGGAGACUUAACAGGAGUUGUGCUGGACUCUGGUUGAUGACUUUUAUGAAGACACUGGAUACAUGAAAUUCACAACAAGAAGAAACAGCCAUUCACCAGUGCAGUCCUGUGACUUCUGCACCAAAAUAGAGGUUGGAAACCAGUUGUCUGCAUUUCCCAGCAUCCUUUGCAGUUAAGGGAGCUGUGUGACCCAGUCUGCCCAGCAAUCCAUUAAACUUCCUAUGUAGUUCUUCAGACUUUCUCUCUCUGUCUUUCUUAUUUCCUAGAUGAAUGCAGGGUAUCUAGUAGACUCCAAGUGUUUGCAGAUGGCAAAGACACAUGAUGGAAAGACG